ACACCCUACCUUCAACAAGGAUGUCAUAUGUUACCUGAUUUUGCGUGGGACCAAGUUUGCAAACACAAUACAAAAAUAAGGCUUAAAGAAAAUGGCUAUAUUCUAAGUGCCUUUGAAAUUAGGAAAACAUGGGACUGCAGGACAGUCAUUGCAGAGCUUCCCGUUUACUGGCAUGUUUUGCCAGUCUAUCAACACUUUCAUUCCCCUCCACCUCCACAUGUGCUGGAACCCAUGUCUUAACCCUCAAACCCAUCUGACGAAUCCAACUGCUCUAGAGUCUGAGUGUAUGACAACUUUUGCUGGUUUAACUUCCUCGACCCUCUGCAAUACCAACGAAACAGCGACCAACUCCACGAUUUAGGGAGGGGCUGAAGACCUUUGGUGUUCUGGAUGCAAUCAGAAUGCAUCCAGACAGUUUUCUACCCUUACUAUGUCACAAACCAUCCCUACUCGCAACAAGAGAAAGGAGCAUGUUGUUCCCUUCUGGAGAUGUUACCUGCAGGAUGUUGAAGGUGCAAGUGUCAUCCCUCCAUUUGGCUUCUCUCCUCAACCAUCAAUUGAUUUCCUGCAUGAUCAGUUGGUCAGCUCCAGACGUCAUUUGCCUAUGGCAAGUACCUGCAUCAGCUGCCUUAAGUUGGCACUGCUUGACAGGUAUGAGAAUUUUAAGGAGACUAUGGACUUUGCUGUAGGUAAUACACAGGGUUUUGCUAGAGAGUAAUGUAGGAAACAACGCUGUUGAGGAUGGUUCAGUUGUAUGAACAAAUGAGCUACUGUUUGUUUUUUUUUAUUUGUUUAAAAAAUAUUGCAUUUGAUGCAAACUGUUACAGUUCAAAAAUAGAAUCACCUUUUUCAGUGAUAAGCCAGAACCUGUUU